GAUGAACGCUAGCGGCAGGCCUAACACAUGCAAGUCGAGGGGCAUCACGGAUUGCUUGCAAUCUGGUGGCGACCGGCGCACGGGUGCGUAACGCGUAUACAACCUACCUUUUGGAGGGGAAUAGCCCAGAGAAAUUUGGAUUAAUACCCCAUAGUAUAUAGGAAUCUCCUGAUUUUUAUAUUUAAACAUUUAUGGCCAUUAGAUGGGUAUGCGUCCUAUUAGCUAGUUGGUGUGGUAACGGCACACCAAGGCUACGAUAGGUAGGGGUCCUGAGAGGGAGAUCCCCACACUGGUACUGAGACACGGACCAGACUCCUACGGGAGGCAGCAGUGAGGAAUAUUGGACAAUGGGCGAGAGCCUGAUCCAGCCAUGCCGCGUGCAGGAAGACUGCCCUAUGGGUUGUAAACUGCUUUUACAGAGGAAGAACCACCCCCACGUGUGGGGGUUUGACGGUACUCUGCGAAUAAGGAUCGGCUAACUCCGUG
rnacentral:rRNA from 1 species